ensembl:snoRNA Gm23613 predicted gene, 23613
CUCCAAAGGGUUGGGUUCAGCUCAGGACAGCUUCCCUGUUCUGUUAAUUAAACCUUGAGACACUGAAAUUGCCUAAAGGGACUGAAUAGAGUCAUUUCUUACUCCCCAUACUUCCUAG